rnacentral:lncRNA from 1 species
GGGGGGAAGGAAAAAAAAACUGGGGAGAACUAGGCGGCUUUCUGAUCAGAGUUCAGAUAAAAAGGGUCACAGUAAUUUGUGGGCACUGACUAAAAUAACCCAAUGGAUUUGAGAGUUACCGCAAAAGAAGCAAACAGACAAACUAAAGAGGGACUUCAGCCAUGAACUUGGUGAUGAGCCAGAGAAGGUAACUUUUCAUCCCCUACAAGACCUAUUCCAUGUUGCAGCUAACCUUAAAGAAAUCAUCACUUGGAACUGAUUCAGAAUCCCAUAUCACAUUUUGUUAUUACUUUUGCCUGGUCUCCUGCUGUCUGGAACAGUUUUUCAGUCUUCCUUCAUUUUCAAGAGUGUGAAAGGAUCCCAAGACCAAAAGUCUGGGAACUGCUGGUUUAGAGUCACAAUACUGACUGCUCAAAAUGACUUUUUAAAGAAGAAAGCCUUAAAAACCCUUGAGUGAAUGGUUGGUAUUUACAGACAAGCAAAUGUAUGGAAGAGAAACGAGAGACCCAGCCUGAAUCUGUUGAAUGAACGAAAGGGGAAAUGCCCUAAGGAGUCAGAUGGAAGAAGUUUUUCUGGGAAGAGCAGAACACAGGAGUUGGGGUGCAGACCUCCUGGAUCACCAGCAGAAGGAAAAGAGCAGUGAGACGUUAAAGUGAUUGAGACAAAAAUGGAAGUAAAACAGCUUAAGGCUUUCUGAGAUCGAGUUCCUGGCAGUGUCAUCAGCAGAUGGUUUCUUCUGAAGUUCAGGGGAAGAGAAGAUGCUCGAAGAACUCUCCAGGGACUGAGUGGGUGGUACAGAGCUAGUGCUGUAGAUGCCAUGUAUACAGGCAAAUUCCCCAAUGAGUGUUUUCCAAUAUCAAGUUUAACUGGCAUUUAAGAUAUAUGCCAAAGGUAGGUAAAUUAUUUUGGCCUGUGCUUAUAGGUUUAUUUCCCUGGAUGAAGCUUUCUGUCUCUGUCCUAGUGCACUGUAGCAGAUGCAGGGUCUUUCCAUACAAUACAUUAAAAGCUGCAUCUCAUUUUAAAUAUAUUAUAGAAACCCUGAUCAUACAAUACAUACAAGAUUUUUAAGAUCAGCCUUCAGUCGAUUUUUUUGCUUUAUUUUUGUUCUGGAGGUCAAAAUGAGUGGUUAACUGUCUAAGUUGAUUGCAGAGAAAGUUACUACUCAUUCUAAACGUAGGUUUUUAGAAAAGUGUUCUUGGCAGUUGCUACCAUUGGCUUUUUCCAACUUACAUGGGAAUCAAGAUUCAGAACUGGUACACCAAUGGGAAGAGCCUGGAAAAUAGACUAUUGAUCAAGAUGAAUCUGGUCCAGAUACUUUAAGACCUUUUCAGUGUGUUUUUAAGAUUAUAAGUUUGAACUAACAGAAACUUCAAUGCUGUUUUUUCACAAGUCAAUGUGUAGUGUACUGUUAUUCUUUUUUUUCCUGUAAUAUCUUAAUAAUAUUCCUGGCUGUAAGAAAAAGUUAACACUAUACCUAUGUUUUGACUUACUUUAUAGAAGACCCAAACAAUAUUUAACAAAAGGAUUUUUCUCAAAUACUAUUUUGAAAUCACUAUAUUAGACACUAUCUUAAAUUUAUUUCUCAAUUUGCUUCUUUUUGAAACUUCCACAUUUUGGUGUUCUUUUCAGCAUCACUCAUUUUCUUUCAUAAUAAAGAUACCCAAUAACAAUAUCAUAAUAAAGAUUUGAUAACAAAUCUCCAGUUUUGGAGUGUUACAUUUCAUAUCUACAUGCUUACAGAGAAUUUAGUAUGAAUAUUCCCUGGCCUUAGUUCCUCUAAGCCUAGGAUACUUGUAGUCAUUUGGCAAAUAAUUUAAUCCAUGGCAAACAUGAGUCUUAAUACAAAAAUUAUUGAGUAGGCAAAAAAUAAUUGAACAUAUUUUGGACUGAUUACCAGUGCAUUAAAAAAGUAGAGGUUUAAGGAUGAGAAUAAUAAGUUUUUUUGUUUUUACUUAAAUUUAUAUAAAAGGAGUGAAAAUACAGUAGCCUAUAGUACUUAAGAGUGUGGGUAUAUUUUCAGCACUUAAUAAUUACUAGUUGAAUUGCAUAAUAUGGGACUAUAACUGAUAUGGUUUGGCUCUGUGUCCCCGCCCAAAUCUCAUGUUGAAUUAUAAUUUCCAAUAUUGGAGGAGGUACCUAGUGGGAGGUGACUGGAUCAUUGGGGGAAAUUUCCCCCUUGCUGUCCUCAUGAUAGUGAGUGAGUUCUCACAAGAUCUGAUGGUUUAAAAGUGUGUGGCAUUUCCCCCUUUACUCUUUCUCUCUCCUGCUGGCCAUGAGAAUAAGUGCUUGCUUCCCAUUCACCUUCUGCCAUGCUUGUGUUUCCUGAGGCUUCCCAGCCAUGCUUCUUGUUCAAGCUGCAGAACUGUGAGUCAAUUAAACCUCAUUUCUUCAUAAAUUACCCAGUCUCAGCUCUUUAUGGGAGUGUGAGAAUGGACUAAUAAAAUAUCUCUAGAAUUAUGUUUUUGGAGAUAAUUUAAAGAUAAACAAAUAUUGGAAACCUCAUUUGAUCACACAGAGAACAGUAAAUGGAAGUUCUACUUUUUCUCCAGGGCCUUUCUCAUGCUUAUGCAGGGAUUAUUCACCCAGAUAUCCUGAAAUAAGACAUCCAAUUAAGGUACCUGCUAUCUCAUGUAACACAGAAGAAAGUUGAGCAUAGAGGUUAAACAUUACCUAAUAUUGUUGGAAAAGCUUCGAAGCGUUCAUUUUCAAAGCAGCUAAUGUAAACCAUGAUAAUCACUAGUAGCACUAUGCCAUUUUAAAUACUUCAAUAUUUUGUAGUUAUUAGAUUCUAAGUAAGUAUAAAAUGUAGUGAAUACAAAUUUUAUUUGCCUAAACAGUGUUAGACAAUAUAAAUUAACGAGUUAUUUUUUAUUCUGUUUAAUAUUUUCAAGCCAAUAAACACUUUACUAAAGUA